GCUUGAGUGGCCAAGUGGUAAGGCGUCGCACUUGUACCUUCAAGGUCAUGCGAAGAUCCAUGGUUGUAAGUUCAUCCCAGGUUCGAAUCCAAGUUCGUCCU